UACGGGGGGGGUAAGCGUUGUUCGGAAUUACUGGGCGUAAAGAGCGUGUAGGCGGCCGUACAGGUCAGCUGUGAAAACUCGAGGCUCAACCUCGAGACGUCGGUUGAAACCGUACGGCUAGAGUCCGGAAGAGGAGAGUGGAAUUCCCGGUGUAGCGGUGAAAUGCGCAGAUAUCGGGAAGAACACCCGUGGCGAAGGCGGCUCUCUGGGACGGUACUAACGCUGAGACGCGAAAGCGUGGGGAGCGAACAGG
rnacentral:rRNA from 1 species